UUCCUACGGGGCGCAGCAGUGGGGAAUAUUGGGCAAUGGACGCAAGUCUGACCCAGCAACGCCGCGUGAAGGAAGAAGGCUUUCGGGUUGUAAACUUCUUUUAAGGGGGAAGAGCAGAAGACGGUACCCCUUGAAUAAGCCACGGCUAACUACGUGCCAGCAGCCGCGGUAAUACGUAGGUGGCAAGCGUUAUCCGGAUUUAUUGGGUGUAAAGGGCGUGUAGGCGGGAUUGCAAGUCAGAUGUGAAAACCACGGGCUCAACCUGUGGCCUGCAUUUGAAACUGUAGUUCUUGAGUGCUGGAGAG
rnacentral:rRNA from 1 species